rnacentral:lncRNA from 1 species
CACAAGGCAGGACGGAGGCAGCAGCACCCUGCCGCCAGCGGAGUGCCCGUGGAGGCUGUGGCUUGCCUGCAUGUCUGGUUUGCCGUGUUUUCUAGAGGUUCACAGCUGUGGAAUCAGACCAGUGGAAAAACAAUAAUGGCUACAGUUGCAGAAGGAAAGCUAAACUAACAGGGGAACUAGCAGGCAGCAAAAGAAGCUCAAAAGAAAAUAAUGUGCUGGAAGGCACAGAGAAUUACCCUCAGACCCUCAGCUUUGUGCCAGUUUACCACCAUUGAAAUGGAAAAGCAAUGGCCACAGAUUGGUAAGACUGUUCAUGUUGGAAAGUUGGAAUUUUUUCUUUCCAGUCCUCUUCCAGGGCAGUUGAUUUCUUUAAACACAGUGCACGUAUCCUGCCAAGCCUUAGCUGUGUGUCUGGCUAGAACUGAUCUUGAAGACAGGCACUGAGCUUUGCAAGCUUUCGGAAUCUUGAAACACAAAAGCUUUAUCUUAAAUGUAACAACAAACCACUUACAAUAUUUAUACUUUCCUCAGACAUAUCACAUACUCUUUGAAAAUUUUCUCACUGAAUGCAAGAUGAUUUCUUGUCUUCAUAACUUUGUUGAUUAUUAGUUUCAGUCUGCUGCUUUUAAGAAUGGUAGAGUUGCAGUGUCCAAACUUUUAUACACAGGGCUGUGAUUUUAUUCAUUUUUAAAUUAUAGCUUAGUAUAUUUAGUCAGUUUGUUUUAUAUCAAGCAUUCAUUUAAGUGGUUUUCAUUGUAUUGACAUUUUAUAAUGCCCUCCUAAUAUUCUUAUUAUUGAUUUUAAUACUGCAAUGGUAUUAUUCAUGGUGACACCUAUUGGAAAGCAAGCUUCAAUUAUAUCAAUAGAUGCUAUUAUUAUAACAUUGAUAACAUUAAUAUUUGAUAGUGGCAUAAAAUGUGAUGCAUUGGCAAUUAACUCAUUAAUGUAGAUAUCAUUAACCAAAAAUGUCAAAGUUGUUGUAAUGAUUUUUCUGUGGUUUUCUUUAACAAAUUCUCUAAUCACUGGCUCAGUUUUGCAUUUUCAAGUGUGUAUUAGCCACAAAAGUUUUUCUGAAAAUUAAAUAACAUCAUCCCUUUUAAAUAAGAAAGGUUGGCCUUUACGGCUCAGAGGAUACCCUGAGUCUUGAAUCAAAAGCAUUAGUAAGAGAUACAGUAUCUGAAACUCCUGCACAGAAUAUUCAAAAAUAAAAGAUUUACCAAAACAUAACCGUGCCUUUUU